GCUCAUCUUUACAUUUUCUUUCUUUUUCCUUAGGAAAUCCCUUUAAAGUUUCUUUUUAAUAAACUGCAAAGGAAUAUUACUCCUAAAUUAGCAGGAGACUGUGAGGACUGGCCUUCUCAUAGAUUUACUAUGCUCCAAGUGGAUGAUCUGAGAAUAGGACCCAGAAAGUCAGUGCCAAACCUCUCUUCUCCAGAAAAUUAACUCUGCGCACCUCUAGCCCACUAGCACCUUCCCAGCCAGGAUUUAUCUCUACUAUACUUUGAAGAAUCACGCCGUGCAGGUCUCAUGAGAGUUGUCUUAGAAAGCACUUUAAGAGAUCUACAACAAGCAAAGAGCUGGAUUUCUGGAUUGCCUGGGCCUGGGCCUGGGAUCCUUGGUUUAAAAAGAGUCACUGUCAUAAACAGAGUUAUUUUAUGAACAGAGGAGGGACAAAGAGAGGAGGAGGACAGAGCCUCUGAAGCUGGCUCUGUGCUGACAGCAGCGAGCCUAAUGCAGGGCUUGAACUCAAACCCAUGAGAUCAUCACCUGACCCAAAGUCGUAUGCUCAACGGACUGAGCCACCCAGGUGCCUCAGGUAUGUGCUUUAUAAAUAUC
rnacentral:lncRNA from 1 species